CUGGGCUGUUGUCCCCCUGCCCCUCACGGUUGUUCUUCUACAACCAGGUAGCCUAGAUCCUGAGGCCAGGGCAAGUAAGAGGAGCUGCCUCCUGACAGCCUUGGGCCCUGAUUCUGCCCACAGGAAGAUGACCCUGAGGUGGCCAGGUCCCACAAUGGCCGAGUAGGGGGCCCCCCAGGGCGGCACCUAUACUCCAAGCGGCUGGACCGGAGUGUGUCGUACCAGCUGAGCCCUGUGGAGAGUACCACCCCAGACACCCUUGUCCGGGACAAGGCCCACCACACCUUGGCCGAACUCAAACGCCAGCGGGCUGCUGCCAAGCUCCUGCGACCACAGCCUGAGGGGCCUGAGGCCCCUGAAUCUGGCUUGUCUGCUGACCCCGUGUCCUCCCAGCCGGACUGCGGCUUCAGGGCAGGCGGGGACCCACCCCUGCUCAAGCUCACAGCCCCAUCUGAGGAGGCCCCGAUGGAGAAGAGGCCAUGCUGCUUGCUCAUGUGAGGGGCUGUACCCAUUUCCAGGCCAGCCCGAGGCUUGCCCUGGAGGCCCACUCAGGGUGUGCCCUGGAACUGCAGGUGGGCAGACACCAGAGUCUUCCCCAGCUUCUACCCCUCAGGACAGUGGACUCUCUGUUGGGGAUGGACUUUAGGCAGAGCCGUAUCUGCAGGCAUCUGCUGCAGAGUGUUUGUCCUGUGACGCUUGAUAAAGGGGUGUUUGUCGUCAAGCCUUCCAGUGUCUCCGCUGGGGAGGGGCAGGCGGUGCUGCUGGACAGGUGCCGCCCAUGCCCUCGAGCAAGCACUCAGGCCUGUAGGUGCGUGCUGGGGCUCGCAAGUAGAGGCCUGGCCCCUGUGUGGGAGGGAGGCCCAAGGGCCACUGGGCAAGAAGCCUGGCCUUCCCCACACCCUCCCUGCCAUAUUCGACUUCCUGGAAGCACUGUUAACUCUUUGUUUUCCUGAGGGCAGUAGGGUACUUCAGAAGGAAGCUCUUUUCGGGCCAGAGCUGAGGGGGACCAUACCAAGGGGCAGGAGUCCUGACCUGCCAAGGGAGGGCGUAUUUUUUCCAGGAUUCCUGGGCCAGAGCCAGUAGAGCAAAUCUGGCACGGCCGGCAUCAGGCACUUCCCAGGGGCAGUGGUUCCCCAAUUCGUGGCCUGUUGCCCUGAUCCUGGGCCCUGGCUGACAACUUGUGCCUGGGCUGGUGUAGGUGACAAGCACUUGGCCACUCAGGCGCCGAGCUGGCUGGGUACAAUGUGUAAGGAUGAAGGGGCCCUUAGGGGACUCAAGCUGGAGGGCUGAGGGCACUGCCAGAUCAUCUCUCUGUCCACAGUAGGCAGCCCUGCAUGGCCACCCGCACUGGGUGGUAUGAGUUUAGGCUACCCUCCUCUCCUUGCUGGGUACUGACCUGGUCUGCUCAGUGUCCAGGGCCCGCCUGCCCUUCUAGCAUCUGUGGUUGGAGGGUUGCUGCCCUUAGCAGGUCUGGGGGAGGGCCAGGGGCUAGCUGCUGGUUAAAUUUAGUGAGUGGGGCGGUACCUCUGCCUAAGGUCCACCUACCACCACAGCUGCCACUUGGGCCCUGAUGCCAGAAGUCAGGCAGUGGCUGGCUCUGACUGGGGCCGGGCUCAUAUUAACCUGUCCUCUGAUGUGAGGGCCAAAGGACAGGCCUGUGAAUUGGGAGGCCAUUGUGGCAGCAGAACUGAGAGGUGCAAGUUGAGAGAGGUAUGUGUGUGUGUGUCUGUGUGCAUGUGUGCGCGCGCGUGCAUUCCCCACUUAGAACUCCUGGUGGCUUCUCUCCCAAUCUGCAGAAACAGAGGAGCCAAGGCUCCCCUUCCGUCUAACCAGCUGCUACUGCCCAGCUCAGAGGGCUGGCUUCCCGACUGUCAGUUCACCCUUGGAUCUGGCUGGCCUGGCAGCCUGCAGAGGCAAACCCUGGGAAUGGCCUGUGAGCCUGUGGAGGUGGGGUUCUGGGGGCCUAUUGCAGUUUACUUCCUGCUCUCUCCACCAAUCAGGAAGGAGGGAAGGUGACAGGCUACCCACCCCCAUGGCUGGGGUGUGGCCCCAAGGGCAACCCCAGGCUCCUGUGUGUUGAAAGGGUAUGAGGGCCACCUGGGGCAAGGGGUUCGCCUGCCCUGUCUGCAGCCCUCCUCCUCCCUCCAGCCCCUUGCAAUGCUGAUCAGGGACCAAGGUCCAGCUGCAGUGUUCUUGUAGUCUCUGGGCCAUGGCCAUUGCCCUGGUGGAACUCAGAGUCUCUACUCCUCACUCGUCCCCCCCAGCCCCCCCAGCAUUCCUAAGGUCUGGCUGUCACCUAGGAGACAGGUCUGUCUGCUGGCCUAAGAAAAGAUGGGGGUGCCAAGAGGGCUAGGCCUCAGCAGUGCCCUGCUGAGGUAAAUCCAGUGGCUACUGGCUGCAGUCUCACCUUAGGGGUCACCCCUACCCAACUCUGCCAACCUCUCAGGUCCACUAGGCCCAGGCAUUGAGCCCUUCCCUCCCCCAACACCAAGGCCGUCUCUCCCUACCCCCCAUGUGGGUCUCCUGCGCUCCUGUCAUGGGGACACUGGGCGGGCACUGGGACUCACCCCAAGCCCCGCCUGCUGCCUCACCCACGCCCUCUGCCUCCCUGGGGCAGAACUGUGCCCAGACUAUGGGGUGGAGCCGAGGCGGCUCCAGCUCCUGCAGCCCUUUCUGUCCCUUUCAUUGGAGCCAGUAGGCUGCAGUGAAGCGGGUGUCCUCUUACGUUGAGCUCCCAAGCCUGGACCCUGCUGCCCCCACCACCACCUCUGGGCCUGCCACCUCCUGAGCCACCUUCCUGCCUGAUCUGAGCAGAGUCAUGGCCUUGAGAGUAGGUGACCAGAGCCGGGCUGCACGGAAUGGGCUGAGGGAGAAGGUGCUGACACUGGACUCCAUGAACCCGUGUGUGCGCAAGGUGGAGUACGCCGUGCGUGGCCCCAUAGUGCUGCGGGCCUUGGAGCUGGAGCAGGAGCUGCGCCAGGUACGGUCCCGAGGCCCUGCUACCCUCCUGCUGUUCCUGGGCUACUAGAUCAGCCUCUGGCCCAGUGGCACUUGGGACUAGGGCUGUGGGGGUAAUGGUGCCCAAUCUGGCUGCCUUCUCCCUUUCCCUCCCAGGGUGUGAAGAAACCCUUCACCGAGGUCAUCCGUGCCAACAUUGGAGAUGCACAGGCCAUGGGGCAGAGGCCCAUCACUUUCUUCCGCCAGGUGAGGCUCCUGUACUGCCUGUGUCCCCUGGCUCCAGCCAUCAGUGUGCCCUGACCUCAUCAUUCCGUCCGCCCAGGUCUUGGCCCUCUGUGUCCACCCAGAUCUCUUGCACAGCCCUGACUUCCCUGAGGAUGCCAAACGAAGGGCUCAGCGCAUCUUGCAGGCAUGCGGGGGCCACAGCCUGGGUGAGUGCUGGUGCCAGGCGGGGACCAAGCCCCAGGAAGAAGCAGAGAAGGGUGGAUCUCUUGGGAGGGUUGCGGGAGGACUAGCCACUUUCAUGGGUCUGCUCUGCUCUGCUUGCCGGAGUCCAGGGGCCUAUAGCAUCAGCUCUGGCAUCCAGCUGAUCCGUGAGGAUGUUGCACGGUACAUCGAGAGGCGAGAUGGAGGCAUCCCUGCUGACCCCAACAACAUCUUCCUGUCCACGGGUGCCAGUGAUGCCAUCGUGGUAGGCUGGGCCACGGCAGGACACAAUGGCUCUUCAACUGUGGUUCCACAGGGCAGGGGACGGGUGCAGCCCCUUGGCCCUGCCAACACUGCGCUCCUCCCCCUGCCCACAGACGGUGCUGAAGCUGCUGGUGGCUGGUGAGGGCCGCCGGCGUACAGGCGUGCUCAUCCCUGUCCCGCAGUACCCGCUCUACUCGGCCACUCUGGCCGAACUGGACGCUGUGCAGGUGGACUACUACCUGGAUGAGGAGCGCACUUGGGCACUCGAUGUGGCUGAGCUGCGGCGCAGGCUGUCUCAAGCACGUGACCACUGCUGCCCACGCGCGCUCUGCGUGAUCAACCCCGGCAACCCCACCGGUGCGCCACCUCCCU
rnacentral:lncRNA from 1 species